GCCUUCGUGGUGUAAUCGUCAGCACAUUCAGCUUGUAUUCGAGAGGUCCGACGUUCGAGUCCCGGCGAGGGCA
rnacentral:tRNA from 1 species